GCGAAAUUAAGAAUUUUCUUUAUUCAAUCAAAAUAUCAAACUAAAUUCAUUAGUAAUAUUGGACUUAUUAGUUUGUUGAACUAGUGCGUUGGUGCUGCGUUGAGUUCCAGAACUUAAGUUAGUCUAAGACAGAUAACAAACUUUGAAUACCUCAAACAAUACAAACAUUUAAGAUAUACAGCUAAUUCAUUCAAGGUUGUCGAGAGAAAACUGCACAACCUCGACCUCUAAAUACGAAAAGCAUUAUUAUUAUGAGAUUGUUUAUGCGUACAUGUUAGACCACGGCUAAUAGAACGUUAGACAUUUGUGUUAAUCAAGUGAAUUUAAUUCCCAAAGGAGUCAAGCACAUAACACAAACAACUUUCUUUCACACUAAAAAGUUUAAAAAUCCAAUGAAUUCUGGCAGGUUUGCUUUUGAAUUCGUCAUUUCCCAAAGUCCUGCGUCUAGUCGCGCUAGCCCCAUAUUGGAGGGAUAAGAAAUAUGGCAUCACACAUUUAAAUUAAAUGUUUAAUGUAAAAAGGAGAUAUUUCAUUUUUGGUAGUCUAAAAAGUUGAUUUUGAUAGUAGAUACUUCUACUCUUUCACAUAUUUGACGCCUAUCACCAUAUAUUUUGUCCCUCCAAACGAUCCCAGAAUGCACUGUGAUUUCUUUUGGGAAAAAGGCUAAUUGGGUUAGACUAGCAAAUAAAAUCCGAGAAAAGUGAAAAUGGAAAGUAGCAACCACGUAUGCAUGUCCAUCGUGCUUUACGCGCUUAGAGGUCGAGGAGUUUUGACUUUGAAAGGACAGCCUUAAUUGAAUAGGCAAUUCCAGCUUUUAGUUUAUGUGUGCAAGGGACGAUGGGAAGUAAGGUAUCACAUUGCUGAUUAUGCUGAAAAAAUAGAAAUGGUGGUGAAAUAUUUCAGGUCUUUCGGUAGUUUUUAUUGCAAUUUUUCAGCAUAAUCAGCACUAUGAUACCUUACUUCCCAUCAUCCCCUGCAGGCAUAAACUAAAAGCUGGAAUUGCCUAUUAGCUGUACCUUGCAUUCCUGUUGACCAAGGCCACGCCCCUGUGCACCCUCUAUAAAUCCACCACUGCCUAUACUCAGUAUUCUAACCAGGAUUGUGGAGACGUCUCUCAGUGAUAGCCAAAGGACUGGUUUCCAGAAAGGAAAGCAAGUUAUCUUUCACAUUUUUGGCUGGUUGUUACUUGCCAAAAUGUUUUUAACUGCAUUAUUAAGUGACAAUUUUUUGUCGCAAAGUUAGAACCAAAUUCUAUACUUUGGUUUAUAUGAUAAUUAGUUUUUACGGUUUUGUGGGUUCAUGAUAUUUACUUGCAAUGUAAAACUUCAGCGAUGUUCUUGAAUUUGCAUUGCAGUCCUAAAUUAGGGUUUCAGAUUGGAUAAGAUAUGCAACUUGUAACAAUAUGUUUGAACACAGUUAGGGAACCCUGCAUUGUAGACACUUUACAAAGUUUGCAACUGAAAUUAAUUUAUAUGUGAGGUAGAUUGUCAAGAAUCAUUAAUAUACUGAUAUUAGUUCAUAUACUAAUUCAGCACUUAAGCCAGGCUUCCAUAUGGUCAUAACGGUCGUAAAUAUUGAGUCACAAUCUUUCUGAAAACAGCCGAAAUACAACAGUUUAACACUGAAAAUAACUAGAGAAUUUUGAUCACUUGGACAUGAAAAUAAAAUGCACUUGCCAUCAGACAACGGCCACUGGCGUACCUACAGUAGGUAGGGGGGAAUAAAUGAAGCAAUCUUGUUCCCCCGAGCCUGCGAUCCUCGGGAAGGAACGCGAGGCUCUGGGAUAAUCCGUUUCAGGGAGGAAUCUGAUUGGCCGUUGAAAUGGAUGCGUAGUUCAAUCUUAGCCAGGAUUCCUGGCUUCCAGCAACGGGUUAUCCCAGAGCCUCGCAGGCUCGGGGAACGAGAUUGUAAAUGAAGGGGCAACAUGUCGACCUGUUCUCCCGCUGCUCUAUAUGGCUUGGUUACACUGCCUCAGACCUAGCUUUGGCCCACAAACAAAAUUUGAAUCAGUACAUGCACUAUAAAAAAAAUUAUCCGACAAUGAAAACAAAAACUUAAAGAUGCCCAUUGCCCAGCUUUUUGUGGCAAGAUAAAACGUUUACUUGCCCGUCAUGAUAUUCACUUGCCCCGGGCAAGUGUUAAGUUACACCUUUGGAAUAUUUAUGAUUUAUAUGUGAUUUACAGGUAAAAAAUUAUUGUAAUCUGGCCGUUGAGAAAGAUCGUUACUCUAUCUUUGCGACCGUUAGACCAUAUGGAAACCUGGUUUUAGAGAUUGCUGAUCCAACAAUGUUAGAAAAAACAACGUAUUCUGACUUCAAUUGUCAUGUGACAAUUUUAUGACACUGGUUUAAAAAACUUUCCUGCUGCAUAUUUGCUGGUGGUCCAGCCAUUAAACUCCAUUCGAUAAUGAGAUCAGUUUUGAGGAUGGUAGUUUUGGUGACAGAGAUUUUCUGAUGUCAGGCGAGUUAAUUGAUAAAUUGAUUGCUAAACAGAAAACUCUCUGAUCCAGGGUACGUUUUAAUACAUUCAUAUGUAAAUAACCUCUUGUGAGAACUGUACUACAGAUGUUAAUAAAAUGAAGAAUAGUGCUUUUUAUUCCUUUAUUUUUGG
rnacentral:lncRNA from 1 species